UACGAAGGGGGCAAGCGUUGUCCGGAUUUACUGGGCGUAAAGAGCGCGCAGGCGGUCGUUCAAGUCGAGUGUGAAAGCCCCCGGCUCAACUGGGGAGGGUCACUCGAUACUGAUCGACUCGAAGGCAGGAGAGGGAAGCGGAAUUCCCGGUGUAGUGGUGAAAUGCGUAGAUAUCGGGAGGAACACCAGUGGCGAAGGCGGCUUUCUGGCCUGCUCUUGACGCUGAGGCGCGAAAGCUAGGGUAGCAAACGGG
rnacentral:rRNA from 1 species